ACGGGAGGCAGCAGUGGGGAAUAUUGCACAAUGGGGGAAACCCUGAUGCAGCAACGCCGCGUGAGUGAAGAAGUAUUUCGGUAUGUAAAGCUCUAUCAGCAGGGAAGAUAAUGACGGUACCUGACUAAGAAGCUCCGGCUAAAUACGUGCCAGCAGCCGCGGUAAUACGUAUGGAGCAAGCGUUAUCCGGAUUUACUGGGUGUAAAGGGUGCGUAGGUGGCAUGGUAAGUCAGAUGUGAAAUACCGGGGCUCAACCCCGGAGCUGCAUUUGAAACUGCCAGGCUGGAGUGCAGGAGAGGCAAGCGGAAUUCCUAGUGUAGCGGUGAAAUGCGUAGAUAUUAGGAGGAACACCAGUGGCGAAGGCGGCUUGCUGGACCGUUACUGACACUGAGGCACGAAAGCGUGGGGAGCAAACAGGAUUAGAUACCCUGGUA
rnacentral:rRNA from 1 species